rnacentral:rRNA from 1 species
UACGUAGGUGGCGAGCGUUGUCCGGAUUUACUGGGCGUAAAGGGCGUGCAGGCGGUUUGUUAAGUGCAGGGUGAAAGCUCCCGGCUCAACUGGGAGAGGUCCUUGCAUACUGGCGAACUCGAGGGAGGCAGAGGAAAGUGGAAUUCCCGGUGUAGUGGUGAUAUGCGUAGAUAUCGGGAGGAACACCUGUGGCGAAGGCGGCUUUCUGGGCCUUACCUGACGCUGAGACGCGCAAGCGUGGGGAGCGAACCGG